AACCGUCUCCGCCUGUGCCCGGAUCUUUUCUUACAGCCGCCAUUUUAACACUCGGCUUGAGCCGUCCGCUCGGCUUCCCCCUUCCCUCCUCACUUUCUCUCUCUCUCUCUCUGUUUUGUUGUCCUUCUCGGUUUCUUCCGUCUCCGCUAUGGAGGACAACACCGACUACGGCAGCAGCAAUAACAACAACGCUGGCAGCGGCCAGGAAGAUUUCGCCGAGGGCUCCAAGAUCAACGCAAGCAAGAACCAGCAGGAUGACGGUAAAAUGUUUAUUGGAGGCUUGAGCUGGGAUACAAGCAAAAAGGACUUGACAGAAUACUUGUCUCGCUUUGGAGAAGUGGUGGACUGCACAAUUAAAACAGAUCCUGUCACCGGGCGGUCCAGAGGCUUUGGGUUUGUGCUUUUCAAAGACGCUGCCAGUGUCGAAAAGGUAUUGGAACUGAAAGAACAUAAGUUGGAUGGCAAGUUAAUAGAUCCCAAAAGAGCAAAAGCUUUGAAGGGGAAAGAGCCACCUAAAAAAGUGUUUGUUGGUGGACUGAGUCCUGAUACAUCUGAGGAGCAAAUAAAAGAGUAUUUUGGCGGCUUUGGAGAGAUUGAAAAUAUCGAGCUUCCCAUGGACACAAAGACAAAUGAAAGGAGGGGGUUUUGUUUCAUCACGUACACAGAUGAAGAGCCAGUAAAGAAGCUGUUGGAAAGCAGAUACCAUCAGAUUGGAUCUGGAAAGUGUGAGAUCAAAGUAGCACAGCCCAAAGACGUGUAUAGACAGCAGCAGCAACAACAGAAGGGAGGCAGAGGUACUUCAUCGGGUGGACGUGGUGGUUCCCGAGGACGCGGCAGGGGUCAAGGCCAGAACUGGAACCAAGGCUAUAAUAAUUAUUAUGAUCAAGGAUAUGGAAGUUACAACAGUCCUUACAGCGAUCAGAGCUACAGCAGUUACGGUGGAUAUGAUUAUUCUGGGUAUAACUACCCGAGUUACGGCUAUGGACAGGGAUACGCCGACUACAGUGGACAGCAAAGCACAUAUGGAAAGGCCUCCCGAGGUGGCGGUAAUCACCAAAACAACUACCAGCCAUACUAAAGGAGCACUUGAGAAGAAACAGCGGGAACUUCAUUGCAGGCCGUGUGUCACCCUGACCACGUCUAUCUCUGGGGGUCGCACGUUGCAGGCAGAGCGCAAGGCAUACACCAGAAAACGCUGUCCUGUGGUGGAGACUCUACAACAAAGCCAUCUUGCAGAACAUCAGGACUCGACUUGGAGGGUGGUCUUCGUGACAUGAGAUUAUUUUGUAAAAGACUUUUAGAGUAUGACACAAGAGUGUCCAACUGUACAUAGUGGCCGAACUAGUUUUCUUUAUGGUUUUUACUUUGUCCUUUUUGUCAUCCGUGUUAUGAUGCAAAUGUGGUUUUGUGUUUAUACAAUUUUUAUUUGUAUAAUUCCAUGUUGACCGAUUCCCAAAUAAAAUGCUUCUGUGAUUGCUGCCUUCUGAAUUCGGACAACUGUUGCAGCAUUGUUAUGUGGGUAAGAAUUGGCCUAGUGUGCCCGAACAAGGCGCAUCAAGGCAUAACGAUGCCUGGAUGUACAAGGGGGAUGUUCUGUGUGUGUAGCAUUCCUGGUUUUCAAACAGCAGCAUCCCACACAGUGAUGCAACAUAAUUAGUGAUCGCCAUGACUUUUAAUGGCAACAUCACAAUGUGAUGAAGAAUCAAUUUGCCUUUGCUCAGAACAGAAGCAAGUGAAUGUCCUUUGGUGGAAGUGUGGCCCCUUGAGUGUUUGUAAAAGGGAUCGCUGUAAUGGGGCUGUGUUUUGGCAUUUUUAAUAAACUGGAUUAAAAAUUGGGUCUGGUGUAAUAAACAUAUCAGUUGAAUAAUGACUUGAGGCUCUUUAUACUCGCACAUAGUGUGGCACAAGUUUUUGCAGGCUCAAAUUCCCCAUAGCUUCUCUAGAGGCCACAGAUCUCUUCAAAAUUUUGAUUUGUUGACUUGAUUUCUGGAUUUUGGUUAUUUGGACUUUAUUAAUAGAAACUACCUUUUGCCUCCUGUCCAUAAAUUCUGUGUUUCAGUAGACCACCUGAAGACAAGCUUUUCAAUAAAAAAGAAUGCUAAAACAGACACCAGCCGGGAGACCCUACCCACUUUGCUAUUAGAAACUCCACAUGGUAUCCGUUAGACCAUCAGUGCCAUCCUCAAUGGAAUUUAAGCCCAUUGACUUCAGUGGGGAACAGAUCAGCAGAACUUGCAUGGGAGGAGUUUUUAGCCUUUUGGAAAUCAUAGUUUUGAAUACAUGGAGUGGUGUUAGGCAGGUGCAUUCAAUCCUCCCGUCUGCCAGCUGGAAUAUUACCAUUUUGCAAUAGAAGAUGUAGACUUGCCUGUUUGUUGUAGCUAUGUUCUUUUCUUCAUGACUAAUUUUGCCCAAUAGUAAUCUGCAGGUUUGUGUUUUAGACACUGUCUUGUCAGUUUGACUUUGGGUGACAAUGUGUUGAAUACACAG